ACAACAUUCAGACCGUCGGUCUAUGGAGCAAUAUCAUCCGCUCAAUGGAAGAUCUUCUCUUCGCCGU
rfam:Bombyx mori DNA, contig: Bm_scaf89_contig34266, strain: p50T/Dazao, build 2, whole genome shotgun sequence.